UACGGGGGGGGCAAGCGUUGUUCGGAAUUACUGGGCGUAAAGGGCUCGUAGGCGGCCAACUAAGUCAGACGUGAAAUCCCUCGGCUUAACCGGGGAACUGCGUCUGAUACUGGAUGGCUAGAGGUUGGGAGAGGGAUGCGGAAUUCCAGGUGUAGAGGUGAAAUUCGUAGAUAUCGAGAGGAACACCGGUGGCGAAGGCGGCCUUCUGGACAGUGACUGACGCUGAGACGCGAAAGCGUGGGGAGCAAACAGG
rnacentral:rRNA from 1 species